AACGAACGCUGGCGGCAGGCUUAACACAUGCAAGUCGAACGCGUGUAGCAAUACACGAGUGGCGCACGGGUGAGUAACGCGUGGAUAUCUGCCUUUUGGUUCGGAAUAACUCCGGGAAACUGGAGCUAAUACCGGAUGGUUCCUUCGGGAUAAAGAUUUAUCGCCAAAAGAUGAGUCCGCGUACGAUUAGCUAGUUGGUGAGGUAAUGGCUCACCAAGGCGACGAUCGUUAGCUGGUCUGAGAGGACGACCAGCCACACUGGGACUGAGACACGGCCCAGACUCGUACGGGAGGCAGCAGUGGGGAAUAUUGGACAAUGGGGGCAACCCUGAUCCAGCCGUGCCGCGUGAGUGAUGAAGGCCUUCGGGUUGUAAAGCUCUUUUGGCGGGGACGAUGAUGACGGUACCCGCAGAAUAAGCCCCGGCUAACUUCGUGCCAGCAGCCGCAGUAA
rnacentral:rRNA from 1 species